rnacentral:rRNA from 1 species
UACGUAGGUGGCAAGCGUUAUCCGGAAUUAUUGGGCGUAAAGCGCUCGCAGGCGGUUUCUUAAGUCUGAUGUGAAAGCCCACGGCUCAACCGUGGAGGGUCAUUGGAAACUGGGAGACUUGAGUGCAGAAGAGGAGAGUGGAAUUCCACGUGUAGCGGUGAAAUGCGUAGAGAGUGUGGAGGAACACCAGUGGCGAAGGCGGACUCUCUGGUCUGUAACGUGACGCUGAGGAGCGAAAGCGAGGGGAGCCAAAGCUGGG